rnacentral:rRNA from 1 species
GACGAGGGGUCCUAGCGUUGUUCGGAAUCAUUGGGCGUAAAGCGUGCGUAGGCGGCUUUGUAAGUCAGGUGUGAAAGCCCUGGGCUCAACCCAGGAAGUGCAUUUGAUACUGCGAAGCUUGAAUAUGGGAGAGGGUAGUAGAAUUCCUGGUGUAGUGGUGAAAUACGUAGAUAUCAGGAGGAAUACCGGCGGCGAAGGCGGCUGCCUGGCCCAAUAUUGACGCUGGAGGCACGAAAGCGUGGGGAUCAAACAGG